rnacentral:tRNA from 2 species
GGUAAGGUGGCUGAGCUAGGCGGUAAGCUGUAAACUUACUUACGAAUAUUAUUAUUCUUUUACC